GGAAGAGAAGGUGUCGGAGGGAGGAAAGGAAUCGGGUCUUCGUAUAUGUGUAUGCUGAAAAAGGAGGAGAUAACCGAAGCUCUUUUGGGAGGAACUCAUAAGACGGUCCCUCUCCUUAACCAAAGCUCUACAUCAUUGGGAGGUACUCAUAAGACGGUCCCUCUCGUUAACCAAAGCUCUACAUCAUUGGGAGGUACUCAUAAGACGGUCCCUCUCCUUAACCAAAGCUCUACAUCAUUGGGAGGUACUCAUAAGACGGUCCCUCUGGUUAACCAAAGCUCUACAUCAUUGGGAGGUACUCAUAAGACGGUCCCUCUGGUUAACCAAAGCUCUACAUCAUUGGGAGGUACUCAUAAGACGGUCCCUCUGGUUAACCGAAGCUCUACAUCAUUGGGAGGUACUCAUAAGACGGUCCCUCUGGUUAACCAAAGCUCUACAUCAUUGGGAGGUACUCAUAAGACGGUCCCUCUGGUUAACCAAAGCUCUACAUCAUUGGGAGGUACUCAUAAGACGGUUCCUCUCCUUAACCAAAGCUAUACAUCAUUGGGAGGUACUCAUAAGACGGUUCCUCUCCUUAACCAAAGCUUUACAUCAUUGGGAGGUACUCAUAAGACGGUCCCUCUGGUUAACCAAAGCUUUACA